rnacentral:tRNA from 1 species
GGCGCGGUAGCAAAGUGGCCAUGCCAGCGGAUUGCAAAUCCGCAGACCCCGGUUCGAAUCCGGGCCGCGCCUCCA